rnacentral:tRNA from 3 species
UGCCCGGUGGUGUAACGGCAGCACGACUGGCUCUGGACCAGUUAGUCGAGGUUCGAAUCCUUGCCGGGCAGCCA